GGGUGGUCCGAAGGUAGUGCCUUAUCUCAAUUGAUUGUUCACAGUCAGUUACAGAUCAAACUCCUUGCUCUGCUCCUUCCCUCUUCUCACUACUGCACUUGACCAGUCUAAA
rfam:Gorilla gorilla gorilla genomic chromosome, chr20, whole genome shotgun sequence